UGAGGAAUAUUCCACAAUGGGGGAAACCCUGAUGGAGCGAUGCCGCGUGCAGGAAGACGCUUUUCGGAGUGUAAACUGCUUUUAAUAGGGAAGAUUAUGACGGUACCUAUAGAAAAAGGACCGGCUAACUACGUGCCAGCAGCCGCGGUAAUACGUAGGGUCCAAGCGUUAUUCGGAAUUACUGGGCGUAAAGCGUACGUAGGCGGUUUGGUAAGUUGGAUGUGAAAUCCCCCUGCUCAACGGGGUGGACUGUGUCCAAAACUACCUAACUAGAGCAUAGUAGAGGCAAGUGGAAUUUGCGGUGUAGGAGUGACAUCCGUAGAUAUCGCAAGGAACACCAAUGGCGAAGGCAGCUUGCUGGGCUAUUGCUGACGCUCAGGUACGAAAGCGUGGGGAGCGAACG
rnacentral:rRNA from 1 species